CUUUUUCUUAUUUUCUUAUCAAAGAAAUGUCUCCUAGCACACCUGCACAAAACGGUCCUGCCCGCAGCAAGCUCCCCCCUGCCCACGUAAACUUAGCCGAGCCAGGGCACAGCCUGACCAUGAGCUCAAAAUCACUGCUUGUGACAUUCCUGACCACAGGCUGUGACCCGUGCCAACCAGCACCCUCCCAAACUGGGGAGAGCCAGGAGCUCUCCCCCGGCAGCAGGAUGGUGAGGCUUUACCACCAGUACCGGCACAGCCAGCUGAGCCACGUGGAGGAGUCCGAAACCAGGGAGCUCACAGUCCACUGGGAGCUUUGUAUCGCUGGCAGCCCUUGGACAGGUUUUGCAAUCAAGAUUAAAGGGGGAUCGAGGCCAGCACCUUCUUGGGUGGCUGCAGGAACUUGUUCUUGGCCUCUGAGCUGCUGAUGCAUUCGAGUCCUGCCAGUCCCCGUGCGUAACCGCACACCUUGCCUGCGCGCUGCUGCUGACAUGUACCAGUGUGCAAACGACAUGGCAAGAGAGAGAGUGGCAUGCCUUAUAAACGAGGUGGAAAAGAAACCAGAGCCCACCACUGGAUUCUUGUAGCCCUCUGCUAAUUAGGGUCUGCAGACUUGAUGCAGCUCUGUGCAAUCCUGCAGCUUGGGCUGGGAAACCAAGGAAAAGCAGGGGACAUCUCCCUCCUUUGGGGGACAACAAGAAGCCUGGUGAGGACAGCAUCACCAUGUAGCCACCAGGUCUGUGCUACAGACCAACCAACUGGACUUUCCCCAGGACUCAGGGCAGCCUUUGGAGCCUCUCCCUGCCCUAGCCCCAGCCCAAUGAAGCCCUUAUUCUCUGAUGCUCUGUCCCUGUCACCCCCCAGCUGGGCACGACUCCCAUCACUGCCCAUCAUCUCCACCUGGAGGUGUCCUGGGACAUGCCCCUGGGUGUCAGAGCCCUUCCAGCACACUGCUGGACACGGGUGCUACCAUCAGAGCAGAAACAUCCCCAAGCACAGGACAGCCCCUAGUGCAUGCAGCAGCUUUCACUGGGGACUGGAUAAAUGGGAGGCACUUGGGAAUGCACCUGUUGGAGAAGUUCAGCUCUCAUCUGCAACGCAACGCUCCACGGGUACAAAUCAUCAGCAUGGGCAUCGACCCGAGGUAAGCCAGGAGACAGUCACUUGA
rnacentral:lncRNA from 1 species